GGGGGUGUAGCUCAGUGGUAGAUCGCUCGCUUCGCAUGUGAGAGGCCCCGGGUUCGAAUCCCGGCACCUCCA
rnacentral:tRNA from 1 species